rnacentral:rRNA from 1 species
UACGUAGGGGGCAAGCGUUGUCCGGAAUCAUUGGGCGUAAAGAGCGUGUAGGCGGCCAGAAAAGUCCGCUGUGAAAACUCGAGGCUCAACUUCGAGCUGUCGGUGGAAACUUUCUGGCUAGAGUCCGGAAGAGGAGAAUGGAAUUCCUGGUGUAGCGGUGAAAUGCGCAGAUAUCAGGAGGAACACCGGUGGCGAAGGCGGGUCUCUGGGCCGUAACUGACGCUGAGGAGCGAAAGCGUGGGGAGCGAACCGG